AGUCAGUCCAAGCUAGCAGCUCGGCAGCUCAAGAGAGACCAGUAGCUGAUCACAGAGCAUAGCAAGGACAUUGAUAAAAAACUAACAUGUCUCCCUCCAACCCUGAGGCGGCCUAUCCUGCACUGGGCCUGGGAUCAGCUCUACUCAGCCAAUCAAUGACUUAAGGGGGAACUUUCUUAACUCCAGUGGAUGCCCAGAUGAUAAGCAGACACUGAGACACUGAAGCCCAGAGGCUGGGAGGGACAGAGGGAAGAGGAAAACCACUUUUUAAUUUAAUAAGCAUUUACUGAGGCUCCUCCUGAGCUAUGCUCUGAGGUGAACAAUGCUGGGAACACAGCAGUGACAAAGACAGCUGCAAGCCCUGACUCACAGGCCUUGGUCCAGUAGGGGUAGAGAGACCUAUCUUCAGUGACAGCCUGGGGAAUCAGGGGAGACUCCUGGUGAUCAAGAGGGCUUCCCAGAGAAUUUAUAAGGAUAACCAAGGGAAUACUGAGAAGAGCAUUCAAAGAAAGGCAAGUGAGUGCAUAGACAGAAGAGUGUGAAACAGACUGGGGAGUGGGAAGACAGGGAUGGAAGGGUAGGCAGGCCAGAUGAUGCCAUCUUUGUUGCCAGGCUUCAUGGGCUGGACUUUGUCCCAAGGGCCCUGGGGAGUCAGGAGGGUUUCAAGCAAGGGAGGGACAAAGUCAGGAUUGGCUUUUGUAAAAGUCCCCUGGCUACCUCAUAGUGAGUGUACCAGAGCAGGGAGAUGGGCUGGGAGCCCAAGGGAAGCUAGAGUAAGGAAUCGCCACAGGCCGCUGGAGCAUGGUAGGACUAUAGAAACGGAGGAGGGGGCUGGUGAGAAGGACAGUCUGGAAGCUGAGUAGAUGGGCCAUCCGGCUGAGAGGCUGGAUGGGAGGGAGACACUGAAGGGCGAGGCCCUCGCUUGAAGAGGGGGGGCUCUGAGAUGGUGCGGGGAGGAAAUGCAGUUUUGGGGAGAUACAAGUGUGGGACCCAGUGGACGGUAUGGUAUCAGAGGAUUUCGAGGGAGCGGUGUCCAGGACACGUGGGGCCCGUGGUGGUGGUAAGAAGCGUGGAAAGAAGACAGCCAAACAGGGAUCAGGAAGGGCCCACCACCUCAAACAAGUCUUGGGGCAGGCGGAAAAAGCGGGUAACAUGUACCGCACAGCCGACAGCUCUGGGGUGGAUAUCGCUUUCUUUUCUUUCGCAUCACGUCAGGGCUGUGGGGGUGUCUCUCAGAGGAGGGGGAUGCUGCGCAAGCGCAAGCCACCGAAGCGCAUGCGCCCCAGGUUCCCGCUCCACCGUGCCUGGGUCACGUGGUAAGCACUGCUGGAGCGCAACGGUAGGUACAAAGAGCUGUGGGCUGGAGCCUAGACUCCAGAAUCUUCCUAGAGCUUACUGGGCCCUCAGACUAGACCCCACUGCCAGACCUCGGCCUUCCCUCGUAUUCCUCCCUCCUUCCCACGCCUGGUGGCCCGCAGAACCUACCCGUUUUCAGACUCCGGCUCCCAGCCCACAGACAUAGCCCUCAGGUCCCCUCCCAUAGCCCACAGACCCCACCCCAGCACCCAGAGGCUUCCCACAACCUCAGUCCGUGUCCGCAACCGUCAGACCCUCUCCCAGCCCGCAGAGCCUGCCUCAGCGCCUUAGCCCUUGCCCUGACCGCCCUUCCUUCCACCCCCUCGUGUAGCUUGGAGACCCUACCCCUUCUCAGGCCAAGCCCUCAGGCCCCUCUUCACCAGACCCUUUUCCUAAACCACUAGUGUCCUUUCCAGAGCUCAGGUCCUGUCCCUGGAGCCCUUACACCCCCUCUCCCAGAGAGAAUGCCCAGCCCCCAGACUCCCUUAGACCCCAGACCUGCCGGUCUGGUCGUUAGCUCUCCCUGUCCGACCACUUUCCCCAUUCAAACACCUAACAGCAGAGCAGACUCCUCCUGAGUCUCCUCUCUUUCUCACGCGGCCUUCUAGGACUCCCAGCCGGCUCUGUAUUUAUUGCCCCCAAGAGGUACUAUGUUUACUUCCGCCUCCCUCAUAAGAAACCCCUAGGUGAUCCCUGUCCAGGAGCUGAGUGAGGAGGCCGGAGCCCACAGAUGCCCUCCCUGCGCUCUCGCUUCCCCAUGGAGCUGGGCUCUGUUAGGGAUCCAGAAGCCCAGCUGGGACGACUGCAUCGCCUGGCCCUGGCUGGGGGCCCAGGAUGGGGCCUCACUCGGCUCCUGCGGAGAGUUGUCCAGGUGGAUGGUGAGAACUCCGCUGGGCAGACGGGGCUCUUCCUCUCGGCGCUGCUGGGCCACAGCUCUGCUGUGCAGCUCUUGCUGACCUUUGGCGCCAACCCCAACCACCGCUGCCUUGAUGGCAGCACACCUGUGCACGCAGGCGCCUUCUCGGGCCGCAGCCUGGUGAUGCUGCAUCUGCUGCAGGCAGGGGGUGACCUGCGUCUGCAUGACCAGCAGGGUCGCACACCUUGGGACUGGGCUGAGCAGGGUGGUGCCAAGCAGAGCUGGGAGGUGCUGGAGCUCUUAGAGCUGUGCCGAGCCCACAUGUCGGCACUAGUGCAUGACGGUGAGUUGGUGGUCAGUGCAUCCCUGGGCCAGUUGCAGGCCGGCUGUAGACACAGCCUGUGUGGCUCCCUGUCCUUGCCGUGGCGGGAGUGUGCAGACAGGGCACCGAGACGAGAGCGCAUCAGAAGACCCCCCCGAAUUUCAGCCUUGGGGUUUGGCCAGCUGAGCUGCCUGAGGCCACUGGGGCUGGUGACAGGCAUACCCCUUGCGGACCCCAAGGAGCUGCUGCCAGCCCAAGGCGAGCCCGACCGCACCUACGAGAGCAGCUCCCACACCCUCAUGGCCAACCUCCUGUGGAGGGGCCACUCCGUGACAGCUCGGAAGCUGAAGGCACCUGAAGCUCAGCCGGAUGUGCUGUUGGCUGACCUUCAGCACUGCAGCACCCUGCACCACCCUAACCUGUUGCUGCUGAUGGCACUGAGCCCCUCGGCCGACCUGUCGGGGUUGUGCCUCCUCUUCGAACCGGUGUGGCUGGGCUCCCUGCACGUGGUGCUGCACCCACGUGGGCCGAGUCCAGGAGGACCCCGUGCUGUGCCGGGGCUGCUGCCUGGCCACCUGCUGCUGCAGGUGCUGGAGGCGCUGCUGUUCCUGCAGGCCCGCUGGCACGCCCACGGUGGCCUUAGCUCUCACGCCGUGCAGCUGGUCCGGCCAGGCCUGGCCAAAGUGAGCAGCCUGGAGCACGGGCGGCCCCUGCACCAACACUGGCUGCAGCCCAGGCCACAGCAGGGCUACUCCCAGGGAGGCUCAGGUCCAGGGCUGCCCCCGCCUCCUGAACUGUACCCAUGGCUGCCACUUGAGCUCAUCUGCGGUGACACGCCUGCUGCCACCUCAGAUCUCUACAGCUUCUGCAUCCUGGCCCAGGAGGUGUUCACCGGACAGCUGCCCUGGGCUGGGAGGAAGGGGCCUGAGGUGAAGGCUAAAUUGGAGGCAGGUGAGAGCCCGGCCCUGGAUCCCCUGGUGCCGGCCCCCUACCAGGCCCUGGUUCAGGCUGGGCUGGGCCUGGGGCCAGCCGACCGCUGGGGCAGCCUGCAGAACACUCGCUACCUGCUGCAGGAGGCCAUGGCCCAGGACUCGGCUCCUGAGGUGAGCUCCCGGAUGCACUGGACCACACGGUGCCCUGCAUCUCAGGAUUUCCUACCAGACACACUGUACUGUGAGGUGGCUCCCCGAACCAAGAUUCCACCCAGGCCUGUACCCCCUGUGAUGUCCCUAGGCCUCUCCCCAUGCCAGGCCCUGAAGACUCCUGAGGUCACAGGCCGCAACAGAGUCCAGAGGGCCUCAGCCUGGGACUCAGACAGCAGCUUGACUCUAGGCAGCAGCCCGAGUCCCGGCUCCAGCCUCUACCCAGACUCCAGCCCUGCAGCCCGGGUCAGCCUGCACCACUGCCUGGAGCCCAGCUCGACAGUAUGGAUCCCCCCAGGGCCCUGUGCAACCACUCAGUUUGUUAAACCAUGAGCCCUCACCCCAAUUGUCACCAGCCCAUUUCCUCAGCUGCCUCGCCUUUGACCAGGGACCCCUCAACUGUCCUCUCACUGACCUGUGCCCCCUGACCAACCUGACUUCCCCCAGGGCCCUGCCCUACACUCCUAGCCUGCAGGACAGCCUCCCUGCUGGGGACCAGGGUUCUGUGGAGCAGUUUGAGAGGAACUCAGCCAAGAUGCCAGCCCUGCUGGACCUUCCCGCCUUAAAGCCCACCCCCUGUCUGCUGACCCACAGAGAGGCCUCCCACCCUCUUGGAGGCUGCUGGGCAGGGGAAGGCCCUGAGGGAGCCCAGUACGGAGCUGAUCAGAGGAUGUCUCUUCUCCAGCCUGCAGAAGAUGGACCUGCUGGAGGAGAUCAUAGCGGAGCUGCGGGG